UGGGGAAUAUUGGACAAUGGGGGGAACCCUGAUCCAGCCAUGCCGCGGGUGUGAAGAAGGCCUUAUGGUUGUAAAGCACUUUAAGCGAGGAGGAGGGUACUGGUAUUAAUACUACCAGGUACUGGACGUUACUCGCAGAAUAAGCACCGGCUAACUCUGUGCCAGCAGCCGCGGUAAUACAGAGGGUGCGAGCGUUAAUCGGAUUUACUGGGCGUAAAGCGUGCGUAGGCGGCUAAUUGAGUCGGAUGUGAAAUCCCCGAGCUUAACUUGGGAAUUGCAUUCGAUACUGGUUAGCUAGAGUGUGGGAGAGGAUGGUAGAAUUCCAGGUGUAGCGGUGAAAUGCGUAGAGAUCUGGAGGAAUACCGAUGGCGAAGGCAGCCAUCUGGCCUAACACUGACGCUGAGGUACGAAAGCAUGGGGAGCAAACAGG
rnacentral:rRNA from 1 species